rnacentral:rRNA from 1 species
GAUGAACGCUGGCGGCGUGCCUAAUACAUGCAAGUCGAGCGAACAGAUGAGGAGCUUGCUCCUCUGACGUUAGCGGCGGACGGGUGAGUAACACGUGGAUAACCUACCUAUAAGACUGGGAUAACUUCGGGAAACCGGAGCUAAUACCGGAUAAUAUAUUGAACCGCAUGGUUCAAUAGUGAAAGACGGUUUUGCUGUCACUUAUAGAUGGAUCCGCGCCGCAUUAGCUAGUUGGUAAGGUAACGGCUUACCAAGGCAACGAUGCGUAGCCGACCUGAGAGGGUGAUCGGCCACACUGGAACUGAGCCACGCUCCAGACUCCUACGGGAGGCAGCAGUAGGGAAUCUUCCGCAAUAGGCGAAAGCCUGACGGAGCAACGCCGCGUGAGUGAUGACGGUCUUCGGAUCGUAAAACUCUGUUAUUAGGGAAGAACAAAUGUGUAAGUAACUAUGCACGUCUUGACGGUACCUAAUCAGAAAGCCACGGCUAACUACGUG